rnacentral:rRNA from 1 species
GAUGAACGCUGGCGGCGUGCUUAACACAUGCAAGUCGAACGGGAUCCAAGGGGUGCUUGCACUUUUUGGUGAGAGUGGCGAACGGGUGAGUAACACGUGAGUAACCUGUCCUUUUCUUUGGGAUAAGCAUUCGAAAGGGUGUUUAAUACCUUAUGUUCUGUCUGCCUCGCAUGGGGUGGGUGGGAAAGGCUUUGGCCGGAUUUGGGUGGGCUCGCGGUCUAUCAGCUUGUUGGUGGGGUGAUGGCUUACCAAGGCUUUGACGGGUAGCCGGCCUGAGAGGGGGGUCGGUCACAUUGGGACUGAGAUACGGCCCAGACUCCUGCGGGAGGCAGCAGUGGGGGAUAUUGCACAAUGGGCGAAAGCCUGAUGCAGCGACGCCGCGUGGGGGAUGAAGGCCUUCGGGUUGUAAACUUCUUUUGCUCUGAACAAGGCAUGCCAGUGGGUGUGUUGAGUGUAGGGGUGGAUUAGCGCCGGCUAACUACGUG